rnacentral:rRNA from 1 species
UACGUAGGGUGCAAGCGUUAAUCGGAAUUACUGGGCGUAAAGCGUGCGCAGGCGGUUAUGCAAGACAGAUGUGAAAUCCCCGGGCUCAACCUGGGAACUGCAUUUGUGACUGCAUGGCUAGAGUACGGUAGAGGGGGAUGGAAUUCCGCGUGUAGCAGCGAAAUGCGUAGAUAUGCGGAGGAACACCGAUGGCGAAGGCAAUCCCCUGGACCUGUACUGACGCUCAUGCACGAAAGCGUGGGGAGCAAACAGG